UCCUCCAUAAUCAUGGUGUGGGACUAUGCAAUGAUCAGUAGCUUUUGAUAUAUCUCAGUUUGAUUAAUACUUGAAAGUUCGUAGACUAUAAUUAUCUAUAUGCUUGAGAUCUGUAGGUUAUUCUGUAUUGUAGUUUCAUAUGUUGUAGAAUAGAUCUCUUAACGACCUUAAUCUAUUGACCAUUUGAUUAAAUGGAACUAGCUAUUGUUAGCACUCCAUUCUCUUGACAGCAGCGUCGUCCAGAAAUAAUUCUACAUUUAGUAUGAUUGUGUUCACUCAUUAUUCUUAGUUGUUUUUAGAGUCUGAUUGGUUUGACCCAUUUAUUUUAGGUUGUUUUUGUGUUACAAUUUUUCUUUGAAAAAGCUGUUACAUAUGGAGAAUUCAUGGUGGUAUUUUCUGAAGUUUUAAGCCAUUGAUUCUGUACCAUUUUUUAUUGGAAUUUGAAGUGUACCACCAGAUUUCCAUUGAAACUGAAAAAUGGCACCAAUUGAGAGUUCCAACGUCCCCCCUCCCAAAAAAAGAAAAAAAAGAAAAAGAAAAAGGGAGAAACGAGAAAAAAUAAAGAAUAUAUUUUCUUUGAUACUGUGGCACUUGGAAUAAAAAAUAACAAGAAGUAAAUUUUAUUUUAUUUUGUUUUUUCUUUUGAUAAGUAAUGAGAGAAAAAAAUUAUAGGGUGCUUUAUCACAUUUUAAGAAAUGAGCUUCUCAAACUUUUGUUGAGGCAAAGGCUUUUGGCCUCCAUUAUUUAUCUGUCAGGUAAGAAAUUAGUUGGGUGAUCUAGGGAUUGAAGGAGAAGCCCAAAUCAGAACCUUGUUCAUAAAUGUCUUAGCUUAAUUUUGUAUGAUGCCAAGGACCUUUCAUGCUCCUCUCUUUGGCCAGAAAAUGACAGUGGAACUACCAUUUUUUAAUCAAGAAGUUGGAGAAUUUAAGUUAAUUUAAAAAAGAAAUGCAAAUAAUCUGGCUUUGGUGGAAUUUCUACACUUCCAUCCAUGGUGAUAGCACACAUAAUGGACUUUGCGCGUUAGACAAUGCCUUUUAUGAGGACUCGGGAGAUUAUGUAAAAACAUAAAACGAGAAGGUUGUUUAGGAUUACAUUUAGUUUAAGUGUACAAAAUAAAGUCAAUGACUUUGCUUCAAGGAAACCUUUAGCUCAGGAGAGGCACUGUCCAGAUGGAUCGGAUCUUCAGUUAGUUUUUACGAAAUAGUGAAACAUAUACAAUUCUGAAUGUUGAACUGAUUCGGGUCUGCUAGUACUAGCAAUCCUACCUGGUUGCAACAUCCCUCUUGUGGUUUCUUUUGUCUCAUGGUCUGCUCAUGUUCAACACAGAGACAUCGGCGCAAAUCCAAAUCUUUCUUGACAUGUCCUAUAGGAGGAUGGUGCCGGUUCUACACCAAUGGAUCAUAUGUACAGGCUUUUGCAAUUCCUGAAAUUAAUUAGAAGUCUUGCAGAAUCUGAUACUUGAAUUGAGUAAUAUUCUUGAAAUUAUGGGAAUCUUAAAAUAAUAACAAAAUGAAGAAUACUUUGUAAUCUUUUCAUAUAUAACUGCAGCUAUAUUCAGUAAAUUGCCAUAUGCCUGAUUAUACCAUCCAAUCCCAAGAUAAAGAGUGUCAAAUUUGUCCUGUUGAUUGUUGAUAAAGAGUGUCAAAUUUGUCUUUUCGAGAUGAGGUCGCCAAUGCUGGAGAUGGGGAGAGGCGAGCCGGGUUUGACCAGGGCGAUGGUCUGGUAUGGGGAGCCAUGGCUGAGGCCGAUACAGAGGGUCGUGAUGAAUUGGCGCUGGUACUGCAGCCUUUGGCUGUGGAUAGGGGCAACCAGGAGGGACUGAUGGGUCCAACACAGGUGCAGUUUGAGGACAGUAAUGUCUUUGGAAGGAAUGGGAUACCUGCAGUGGAGGAUGUAUCAGAUUGGGUGUUGAAGCGCAUAACUGAGGUCAGUCGGUUAUUGGGUCUAUCAUUCAAAGGGUAUAAGGAGGAAGUCUUACGGUUAUUUUCUGCCAUGGAGGCAUCGUGGCGAAAAGGGUCUCCUAGUAACCCAGUGGGUACAGUGGCAGAGACUAAUCGUGAAGGGAAACGGGAGUUAAGGAAUUUAGUGUGUUCAAUCAAUUAUGUACAGGGUGGGGCACGGGCUGAUCGUGGCUCACAUAGACGUCAAGGGGUUCCUUUGUUGUUGAAAUGAAGUUAAAAUUUUUGUUAUGGAAUGUAUGGGGAUUGAAUGAUAGGGACAAAAGGGUAGCCGUGAAGGCAGUCUUGCGAAGUGUGAAAGUUGAUGUGGUGUGCUUACAAGAGACAAAGAUGGAGGUGUUGGGGUUAGAGGUGGUGCGAGAAAUUUGGGGAGGCCGAUUUGUAGAGUGGUUACAUUUGCCGGCAGUGGGCACGGCAGGAGGUGUUCUAAUCGUUUGGGACUCGAGGGUGGUUGUGAAGGAAGAUGAGGAGUUGGGUAGCUUUUCAGUGUCUUCUCAAUUUCGAUGUGUGGCGGAUCAGUUCCAAUGGGUGUUCACGGGGGUGUAUGGCCUAGUGCGGAACGAGGAUCGUGGGGAGUUCUUUUUAGAGUUAGAGGCUGUGGCAUUUUGUUAGUCAGUGCCUUGGUGUGUGGGAGUUGACUUCAAUAUGACGAGGUGGCCAACUGAGAGGGUGGGGAGUUCCUGGGAGUUGGGCUGCAUGCGAAGGUUCUGUUCUUUUAUUGAUGAAAUGCUGUUGAUUAACAUGCUGCUUUAGGAAAGGAGCUUUACUUGGUCGAAUGGGCAGAGUUUGUCUCGGAUUGAUCGAUUUGCGAUUGGGAGGAACAUUUUUCGGAUGUUGUUCAAAUUCGAUUGUCUCGUUUAGUGUUUGAUCAUUGGCCUCUUUUACUCAAUAGUGGGGGGGCUCCGCAGUGGCCCAACUCUUUUCCGUUUUGAGAACAUGUGGUUGCAUUCGGAGGGUUUCUUGGAGAUGGUUCGGGGGUGGUGGAACUCUUAUGCAGUUACAGGGUUGCCUAGUUGCAUGUUGGUGCAGAAGUUGAAAUUGCUUAAAGGGGAUCUGAAACGCUGGAAUAGGGAGGUUUUUGGCCGACUAGAGGGUCAGAGACAAGCAAUGGUGUCCUUACUAUCUUCCUUGGAUGAGUUAGAGGCUGAAGGGGGCUUAUCGCUGGAUGAUGUUGCUAGAAAGGAGGUGGCUAGACAGGAUUAUGUUCGUAUUUCGCGCAUAGAGGAGAUGAGUUUUAGACAAAGGUCUAGGUGUUUGUGGUUGAAGGAUGGGGAUCGUAACACAAAAUUCUUCCAUCGGAUGGCUAAUGCUCACCGUCGGAUAAAUCGUAUUAGUCGAAUGCGGGUGAAUGGGCGUGAACUGGUAAAUGAAGAGGAGAUCAAGGGAGGGAUUGUGGAUUUCAGAAUUUGUUUCUUCUGCAAGAAGGGGAGUGGCGGCCAGGGCUGGAAGGGCUUUAUUUUGAUAUGAUUUUGGCUGAGGAUAGGGUGGCCUUGGAGCAAGCCAUUACGGAGGAGGAAAUAUUUUGGGCUUUGCGGGCCAUGAGUGGGGAUAAAGCUCCCGGUCCCGAUGAUUUUACUAUGGCUUUCUUUCAGCACUGUUGGAGUGUGGUUAAGGCAGACGUGAUGGCGGCACUGGAGGCUUUUUUCGAGAUUGGGCAGUUUGAGAAAAGUCUUAAUGUGACUUUUUGGUUUUGAUUCCAAAGAAAGGGGGGUUGAGGACAUUAAGAACUUUCGGCCAAUUAGUCUUUGUGGGAGUGUUUAUAAACUGUUGGCUAAGGUGUUGGCAAAUAGACUUUGCGGGGUUUUGUAGAAAGUGGUGUUUGACUCUCAGAAUGCUUUUGUGGGGGGGUCGGCAGAUUUUAGAUGUAAUCUUGGUGGCUAAUGAGUGUAUGGAUUCCCAGAUUAGGCAGGGGCAAUCGGGUGUGAUUUGUAAGUUGGAUAUAGAGAAGGCCUAUGAUAAUGUGCGGUGAGAGUUUUUGUUGUAUGUUUUGGAUCGUAUGGGUUUUGGGAAGACUUGGUGUUGCUGGAUUCAGUUCUAUAUUUCUACUGUGCGGUUGUCGAUUAUGGUUAAUGGUACUCCAGCGGGGUUCUUUCGGACAUAUUGAGGUCUUCGUCAGGGAGACCCUUUGUCGCCACUUUUGUUUAUUUUAGUGAUGGAGGCCUUAAGCAGAUUGUUGGAAAGAACAGGUCAUGAAGGUUUGCUGGAAGGUUUUGUGGUUGAGUCUCCUACAGGAGCAUGCCUGAGUGUUUCCCAUUUGUUGUAUGCCGAUGAUGCGCUAAUCUUCUGUGGGGUGGUGGCGGAACAGUUGGGUUACUUGAGAUGUGUUUUGUUGUUCUUCGAGGUUGUCUCAGGUCUUCGGGUGAAUUUGGGGAAGUCUGAGUUGAUUCCAGUGGGUCAAGUGGAGGGGUUGCCAGUGCUAGCAGCGGUGUUGGGUUGUAAGGUGUUUAUCUUGCCGGUGACUUAUUUGGGUUUGUCAUUGGAGGCAACGUUUAAGGCUAUAGGGGUAUGGGACGGGGUUGUGGAGUGGAUUCAACGACGGUUAACAGGUUGGAAGAGGUAACAUCUAUCGCAAGGGGGAAGGUAGACUUUGAUCAAGAGCCUGUUGAGCAAUAUUCCGACAUAUUUUAUGUUGUUGCAUGUUAUUCUAGUGUUUGUGGCGUGGAGGAUUGAGAAGUUACAAAGGGAUUUCUUGUGGGGUAGUCAGGGUGCUGAUUUUAGGUAUCACUUGGUGGAUUGGGGACGGAUUUGUCAACCGAAAGUGGCAAGGGGGGAAUGGGGGUCAGGGGCGGUGCUGGGUUUGCAUGGUUAUGGGUUAUGGAAAAGGAUCUGGUUGGGGAGAAGGGAGUUUUGGGGUAGGGUGGGUUUUCGAGUAGUGAUGGGGUGAGGGUGCGUUUCUGGAAGGAUCGAUGGUGUGGGGUGGAUUCAUUGGAGGCUCACAUUCCUUUGAUCUUCAGUAUUGUCAGAGAUCAGGAGGCUAUGGUGGCAUCCUAUUUCAGGGGUGGGGAGGGGGUGGUUUGGGACAUUACGCUACGGCGACCGGUUCAAGACUGGGAGGUUGAUCAACUGGUGGAGUUAUGGGGUUACUUGUAUGGGUUAGGGGUGAAUGGGGUGGGGGAGGAUGUUUUGGGCUGGACUGUUGGGGCUAAAGGGUGUUUUUCGGUCUCGUCAUUCUAUUGGAGCUUGGUGAGGAAGGUGAGGCGGGAUUUUCCUUGGAGGAGUGUUUGGGUGUCAGGAGUUCCAUCUAAGGUGGUUUUCUUUAUGUGGACGGCGGCUUUGAGUAGAAAUCUCACGAUUGAUAACUUGAUGCGGCGGGGUCACAAUCUAGUGAAUCAGUGUUGUAUGUGUUGUAAUGCUGUAGAGUCUGUGGAUCAUUUGUUUUUGCAUUGUCUGGUAGCGUCCUAUGUGUGGGCCUUUGUUUUCUACGGGUUCAGCCGAGGCGGGUGGUGGACAUGUUGUGGAGCUUGCGCGGGGCUCGAGUUGGGCGUUGACAGCGGCAUGUGUGGAUUUUGGUCCCUUUUUGUUUGAUGUGGUUAGUUUAGUUGGAACAUAAUAGACGCACGUUUCAGGAUAUUCAACGCAAUGUUAGUUGGAUUGAGAGUCGCCUUCUGGUUGUUUUGUAUGGUUGGUUAGAGAUGAAAAUUGAUCCGGAUAUGUUUAGUUUUUUAGAGUUUCUGGAUGGGGUUAUAGGUUAGAUGGUGUGUUUUGCCCUCAUGGGGAUUUUUGUAUUCUUUACAUCAUUUUGAUGCUUUCUCAAUAAAGUCCGCAUACUUAUUUAUCAAAAAAAAAAAA